rnacentral:tRNA from 1 species
GCUGUGAUGGCCGAGAGGUUAAGGCGUUGGACUCGAAAUCUAAUGGGGUUUCACAAGAGGUUCAAACCCUGCUCGCGAUC